ACUGGGUGUGGUGGCGCACACCUGUAAUCCCAGCUACUCAGGAGGCUGAGGCAGGAGGACAGCAAGUUUGAGGCCAGCCUCAGCAACUCAGUAAGGCCCUGUCUCAA
rnacentral:sRNA from 1 species